GAGCGCAGCCUACCAUGCAAGUCGAACGGCAGCACAGAAGGAGCUUGCUCCUUGGGUGGCGAGUGGCGGACGGGUGAGGAAUGCAUCGGAAUCUGCCUAUUUGUGGGGGAUAACGUAGGGAAACUUACGCUAAUACCGCAUACGUCCUACGGGAGAAAGUGGGGGACCUUCGGGCCUCACGCAGAUAGAUGAGCCGAUGCCGGAUUAGCUAGUUGGCGGGGUAAAGGCCCACCAAGGCGACGAUCCGUAGCUGGUCUGAGAGGAUGAUCAGCCACACUGGAACUGAGACACGGUCCAGACUCCUACGGGAGGCAGCAGUGGGGAAUAUUGGACAAUGGGCGCAAGCCUGAUCCAGCCAUGCCGCGUGUGUGAAGAAGGCCUUCGGGUUGUAAAGCACUUUUGUCCGGAAAGAAAAGCGCUCGAUUAAUACUCGGGUGUUAUGACGGUACCGGAAGAAUAAGCACCGGCUAACUUCGUGCCAGCAGCCGCGGUAAUACGAAGGGUGCAAGCGUUACUCGGAAUUACUGGGCGUAAAGCGUGCGUAGGUGGUUUGUUAAGUCUGAUGUGAAAGCCCUGGGCUCAACCUGGGAACUGCAUUGGAAACUGGCUUACUAGAGUGCGGUAGAGGGGUGUGGAAUUCCCGGUGUAGCAGUGAAAUGCGUAGAUAUCGGGAGGAACAUCUGUGGCGAAGGCGACACCCUGGACCAGCACUGACACUGAGGCACGAAAGCGUGGGGAGCAAACAGGAUUAGAUACCCUGGUAGUCCACGCCCUAAACGAUGCGAACUGGAUGUUGGGGGCAACUUGGCCCUCANUAUCGAAGCUAACGCGUUAAGUUCGCCGCCUGGGAAGUACGGUCGCAAGACCGAAACUCAAAGGAAUUGACGGGGGCCCGCACAA
rnacentral:rRNA from 1 species